GUGAGUGUCAUGAUUGUGAUUGGCUGCUGAGCAAUGUGCCGUUGCUAAGAUCAAGAUGCUGUGCAACAUGGAGUUUAGCGGAGAGCAAACUGGACCUCAUGCACGAGUCCUUCAUAAGUGAUCCAAUCAGCAUCAGGAAAAGAAGAGGGUGCAAGUUAAGGACAUGGGAUGGGACUUGAAGUGCGCCAACAGAAAGUCAGGAAAAGGUUACAGGUUGAGCAGAUGGGAGAGUGUGUGUGUGUGCAAAUCCUGUCGACCAAUCAGAAGCUGCGGUCUCUGAUCCGAUUCUGGACACUCUGGAGCUGCAGGAGAACAUCUGGACGCCACAAAAGCCUUUGGAGAAGAAGAAGAGUGUGUGUGUGUGUGUCUUUGCUUUUGAAGAAGAGAAGAAGACCUCAACCACAUCCUUCAUAAGUCAAAUCGACAGGAGCUGCGGUCUCUGAUCUGGUUCUGGACACUAUGGAGCUGCGUGAGAACAUCUGGACGCCACAAAAGGUGAGUGUCAUGAUUGUGAUUGGCUGCUGAGCAAUGUGCCGUUGCUAAGAUCAAGAUGCUGUGCAACAUGGAGUUUAGCGGAGAGCAAACUGGACCUCAUGCACGAGUCCUUCAUAAGUGAUCCAAUCAGCAUCAGGAAAAGAAGAGGGUGCAAGUUAAGGACAUGGGAUGGGACUUGAAGUGCGCCAACAGAAAGUCAGGAAAAGGUUACAGGUUGAGCAGAUGGGAGAGUGUGUGUGUGUGCAAAUCCUGUCGACCAAUCAGAAGCUGCGGUCUCUGAUCCGAUUCUGGACACUCUGGAGCUGCAGGAGAACAUCUGGACGCCACAAAAGGUGAGUGUCAUGAUUGUGAUUGGCUGCUGAGCAAUGUGCCGUUGCUAAGAUCAAGAUGCUGUGCAACAUGGAGUUUAGCGGAGAACAAACUGGACCUCAUGCACGAGUCCUUCAUAAGUGAUCCAAUCAGCAUCAGGUACCAAUAUCAUGUGUGAACAAGGUUGUGUUGUGGUGCUGAAGCCUGAAGUGAUGAUUUAUGGGGGUUGUGAGCCCUGUUCCUGGGCAGUGACAACUUUUUAAGUCUGAUAUCAGGCAACAUGUUUUUUUUCUGGAAGACUGUGAUCUAGAGCCUGACCGAUAAAGGAUUUUGAAGGCCGAUACCGAUACAAAUAUUUGUUGAUUUAAAAAUCCGAUAUAUCGGCCGAUAUAUAUAUUUUUUUCUGAAACAUGCAACAAAACAUUAACAGAUUUCCCUAACAUUAGUUAUUUGUAGUUAUUUAUGAGUAUUGACUGAAAUAAUAUGAUAUUGCAUUUUAAAAACAAACUUGUUUAUU